rnacentral:rRNA from 1 species
UACGAAGGGGGCUAGCGUUGUUCGGAAUCACUGGGCGUAAAGCGCACGUAGGCGGAUUUUUAAGUCAGGGGUGAAAUCCCGGGGCUCAACCUCGGAACUGCCUUUGAUACUGCAAGUCUCGAGUCCGAUAGAGGUGGGUGGAAUUCCUAGUGUAGAGGUGAAAUUCGUAGAUAUUAGGAAGAACACCGGUGGCGAAGGCGGCCCACUGGAUCGGUACUGACGCUGAGGUGCGAAAGCGUGGGGAGCAAACAGG